rnacentral:rRNA from 1 species
UACGUAGGGGGCCGAGCGUUGUCCGGAGUUAUUGGGCGUAAAGCGCGCGCAGGCGGCCUCGCGCGCCCGACGUGAAAAGCCCCCGGCUUAACCGGGGAGGGUCGUUGGGGGACGGCGGGGCUUGAGGGCGGGAGAGGGCGGUGGAAUUCCCAGUGUAGCGGUGAAAUGCGUAGAUAUUGGGAGGAACACCAGUGGCGAAGGCGGCUCACUGGACCGGUACUGACGCUGAUGCGCGAAAGCGUGGGGAGCAAACAGG